rnacentral:rRNA from 1 species
CCUACGGGAGGCAGCAGUGGGGAAUAUUGGGCAAUGGAGGCAACUCUGACCCAGCAACGCCGCGUGAAUGAUGAAGGUCUUCGGAUUGUAAACUACUUUAGACAGGGAGGAAACAAGUCAGUACCAGUAAAAUAAGCUCCGGCUAACUCCGUGCAAGCAGCCGCGGUAAAAUGUAGGGCGCAAGCGUUAGCCGGAUUUAUUGGGUGUAAAGUGUGCGUAGACGGGUAGUCAAGUCGGUUGUGAAAUCCCUGGGCUUAACUGAGGAACUGCAACCAAAACUAACUUGCUUGAGUGCUGGAGAGGAGAGUGGAAUUCCAGGUGUAGCGGUGAAAUGCGUAGAGAUUAGGAGGAAUACCAGUGGCGAAGGCGACUUUCUGGACAGAAACUGACGUUGAGGUACGAAAGCGUGGGGAGCAAACAGGAUUAGAUACCCCGGUAGUC